UAGGGAAUCUUCCGUAAUGGGCGAAAGCCUGACGGAGCACCGCCGCGGGAGUGAUGAAGGUCCUUGGUUCGUAAAACUCUGUUUUUAGGGAAGAACAAAUGUGUAAGUUACUAUGCACGUCUUGUCGGUACCUAAUCAGAAAGCCACGGCUAACUACGUGCCAGCAGCCGCGGUAAUACGUUGGUGGCAAGCGUUAUCCGGAAUUAUUGGGCGUAAAGCGCGCGUAGGCGGUUUUUUAAGUCUGAUGUGAAAGCCCACGGCUCAACCGUGGAGGGUCAUUGGAAACUGGAAAACUUGAGUGCAGAAGAGGAAAGUGGACUUCCAUGUGUAGCGGUAAAAUGCGCAGAGAUAUGGAGGAACACCAGUGGCAAAGGCGACUUUCUGGUCUGUAACUGACGCUGAUGUGAGAAAGCGUGGGGAUCAAACAGG
rnacentral:rRNA from 1 species